CAGAACUCUAAGAUGACCCACAAUGGCUCAUACCUUUAUAUAAUCUCCUCCCCUUGAGAGUGGGAGGGAGCUAUAUAUGUGAUGGGAUAUCACUCCCAUGAUUACUUUAUGUUAUAAGACACAGUUGACUGUAAGAAAGGGAGAUUAUCCUUAGUGGGGCUGACCUAAUGCAGUGAGCCUUUUAGAGCCAAGAGUUUUCUCCAGAUGGUCACAGAAGAGGAAGGCAGAGUGAUACUGGCUGGCCCAGAAGAAAGCAAACAUCCACGUGAAGCACCUAGGGUCUAUAUGGUAAGGAACUACAAGCAACCUCCAGAAACUGAGCACCGUCCCCAGCCAACAGUUAGCAAGAAAAUAGGGAUCUAAAUUAUAUAACUUCAAGGAAAUAAAUCCUGCCAACAACCAGUGAUCCUGGAAGAGGACUCCAAGCUCCAGAUGAGAGCCACAGCCCUGGCCAAUUCCUUGAUGUCAGCCUGGUGAGACACUAAGCAGAAAAAUCCAGGUGGAACUCCCAUCUCCCAUCCCCCUGGGGCAGGGGAAAGGAAUUUGUGGCAGCUGAAUUCAUACCUCCUGGUGCUAAGGGUCCUAGAGGUAUCUGGCUCCUAAGCAAGCCCGUUUCAAGGGAGGAAGCUGAGAAAGAGGAGCAUCAAUUAUAACCAAGGCCUAUAUUCAUGCCUCUUGCCCAACAAAAUGGUGAACAAGACUCCACCUACUUCAAGGAUUGGGAGAAUAGAGAGUGGAAUGGGAACAACUGGUUGACAUUUGAUGACCUGCAGAUGGGACCUGAAGCAAGCUUCCUACAAUCCUCACUGCUUUGCUGACAUUUGGAACUUUAGUACAGGAUGAGUGGCUUUCACUUAUUUGACUUCAUCAGAGCUGAAGAGGGUCUCUGGCAUGGCUUCUCUCAGGUUUUGAAUCUCCCUGGUUUUGGCUGAGAUUCAUACUUUAUUCAGGCAUUCUGAUUCCACACUCAACAAAACUGGAAUUGAAGCUUCACUUUUAAAAGUGGGAGUUUCAUUUGUUAUUUCUUUAGAGAUUCUGCUGUUUGCUGAUACUGUUAGUAUAAUUUGGUUUUGUUUUGAAAGGUCAAAAGUAUACGUGCAACAACAUGGAUGAACGUUGAAAACAUUAUGCUAAGUGAAGGAAGCCACUCACCAAGGACCACAUACUGUAUGUUUCCAUUUAUAUGAAAUCUCCAGAAUAGGCAAAUUCCUAGAGACAAAAGUCACAUUAGUAGUUGCCGG
rnacentral:lncRNA from 1 species